rnacentral:lncRNA from 1 species
UUUAUUGAAUGAUGUAUUGACAGGCAUAGAUUCACAAAACAUGCUAGCCAUGAUAUUGCACUGUGUUGUGACACCGAUUUGUAAAAACAAGUAUCUUAACCAUUUGUCAUUUUUGCAUUGUUUGCCAGCUUUUCUUUUCUUUAACAAUUUUCCAAGGUUAUUUAUUUUUGUGUGUGGCUGAAGAUAAAUAUGUUUCAUUUGAAAACUCUUCUUUAGUAACAUCGAGAACAAGAGAAACCCAGUUGUAUAUUUUUUGUGAAUUUCUCCAGUUUGUAUAUUUUCUCUUUCUCUUUACAUCAUUUCAAUCCAAUCAGAUGUCUCAAGGAAGUGGAUGCCAGGAAUGAUGAAUCACUGAAGCCUGUUGGGGGAUCCACACUCGAGUGCACCCAAGUCCAUUCAUUGCCAGCUGAUGAGAGUCUGCAGGCCUGUUUGCUAUUUCGGCUAAUCAGGGAACAGUUCACAAAAACUCAGUUCUUCUUCUAAGUUUCUGGCCUCUCCUUCUGCUGUUGUGGAGACAGUUUUUGCUGUGAUGAGGCACAGAUCAUACAAUCUUUGAGAGUAAAAGGAUGGAUCAAGACCACAGGAAAGAAGGGAUGAAGCUGUGGAGAGUGAGGAUGAGGAACAUUGCAGAUGACUGGAGGCCAGCUCCCUGACCUUCCCCUACUGCCACUGCUGCAGGCCCUGGUCAGGGGAAGUAAAACUGACACUAGCUGUUUAUCAUGCUUUAAGACCAGAAAGUAAAAUGAAAACCAUUACCACCUCUCAGGAUGCAAGAAGGCACAAGAAAGGACUAAACCAGUUGAAGAUGUUAUCUCAAUGGAAGAAGGAAUCCUAAUUAAAUUGAAGUCUUAACAAAAAGACGGUCUAUUUCACAAGACUGAUAGAGACAUAUACUUGAUGAGUCAACUUGGUCUUUUCAAGGCUUUACUCUGGCUUCUCUUCUAUUUAUGUGUACGAUUAGAAGGAUAAACAGCCUAUAAGAGCUUGCUAUCUACCAAAUCCAACCAUGCAGUCUUAAAAAUUACUUCUGGGUUUACAGAUAAUUCUUGUAUCAAAUAAGUUGAUAUGAGGCACCAAGAAUUAGUAGGAUUGGACUAGAGUCAAACCCACUGCACUUAUCAAGGCUUUACCAGACCCUACUGUGUCCUUUAUGUGUUGAAGUCUAAGGAUAUCUAGAAACAUAUGGCAUGAUCACUGCCCUCAGGGAGCUGACAGCAUUGUAUGCUAGCAAGAGGCAAAAACAACAAAAGAGAAUGUAACUUAUAACUGACUGAAAGACCAAUGUGUCAUUUUGGAAGCAGAGAAGCCUGAUUUUGGGCAAACUUUUUAAUGAGAACUUGAGUUUUCGUAUCUGUAAGGUGAAAAUAAGACGAUCAACUUAUGGCUGAAAUGGCAAAGAUACAUUUCCUAUGAGACGGCCUUGUAUAUAAUAAGCAUUCAACACAUAAGAACAGUGAUGAUAAUGCUAAUAAUGAUAUAAUGAUGCCCCUAAGUGACAGAUAGAAAAUAAUUGGACUAUUAGGGAUAUCUCUACAAGCUGGAGUGGUUGAGCAAGGCACCUUAGGGUUAAUGGGAUCAGAACCCAGUGGUUCUGGGCCCUGAAGUAUGAACAAAGGUGAGUGAGGCAAAAAUGUGACCUGUGUAAGGAUCACUAAGGGAACCAUCCUUAGACCCUUAGAGUCACAGGAAGUUUAUACUUUGGCCUUGGGAGCAGGUAAUGAUACUUAAAUGAACACAUUUGUCCAUAGUCUAUGAAUGACUCAGCCAUGAGCCUCAGUGCUUAUGAUUACUGUGGAAUUGGUGCCAGCUUGGCCUCAUCAAGAAUGCUAAAUGUAAUGUAAUUUUAAUGACUUCCAUUGUAUUCGAGGCUUCCUUGCUAAGAUCCAGCAUCACAUUGCACAUUUAAACUACCUGGGUAUACUAAUGAAGAUUAAUUGUUCAUUGAUUAAGGAAGGAUGAAUCACCCUAUUACUGAUGUGAACUUUCCUUCCUGAAGUAAAAGUGUAUUGAGCUUCAAAAUAUUGGCUCAGAUAUGGUGAAAGGCUCUAUUUAAUUGUCUUCCAUUUUAUUUUACCCUGAUGAUAAUGGUAACAAAAUACUUAUUCCUCUUGAAAAAAAAUCAAAUGGAAGUUUUAUUGGUUUUUUCCAAAAAUAUACAAAAGUCCACACACAGUGAUUGAGUAUAGUAGAGGGUUUUAUUAACACCAGUUUCCCAAAAAUUGAAUGAACUUGUUCCUAUGAAUCAACCCCUGAUAAUAAGUGUUAUCAUUUAGGAUUGCAUUAAGCUGCAUGUAAACAGAAUCCUAAACACAGUAGCUUAGUCAAAUUAGGGGUUAAUUUUUUGUACCUAAGAGGGAGACUGGAGAACUCAAGGAGGUGGUUUUUUUUUUUUUUUUUUCUCCCUCCAAUUUCAUUGAUCUGAGUGUGUGAUAUCUGGCAUCUUGGUUGGAGGUUGGCUGCUGUACCAAUGUGCACUAUGUCUGCAUUUCCAGGCAGGUAGAAAGGGAAGAGCAGAGAGCCAAAAUGCCUGUACCAUCUGAAUCAGUCUAUUUUUUGUAGGCAAAAAUGGAAGGCAAUGUCUUUUUCUAGAGUAUAAUAUAUACCCAACAUAUAUAUCCAACAUACUUCUGUUCAUAUAUUUUUGGCUGGAUCCAUGACUCAUAGCUAUCCAUUGUUUCUCAAAAACCUAGGAAACCUGAUUGUCUUUUAGUUGAGAACAUUGCUUUCCUAAACAGAAUCGGAGUUCAUUUAGCAAGGAAAAAGGAGGAGAUGGCCUAUGUUGAUUGGCAUAGUCAAUGGAAUGGGUUUCCUUGCUAGGCUUCUCCUUGAGGGGAAGACUCUAGGAACAUGACCAUGACAUAUUAGAACUCCCUGCAGCAUUAUCAGAAAAGCAGUGGUAAGGAAAGUGGCAACCACAUGAUUUCCAAACCUUAGAAUACCUGACUGGGGCUGGAGAACUCCUGACCUUCAAGUUCAGCUCUGCUUCUCUCAGGUUUCGACAGCUUCUCUGUUGUCCCCAGGUAGAUUUUCUGCUUUCAUAGUAGAUCCUUCUUUAUUUUAGCAGUAUGGUCUGAUGGAUGCACGCGUGCUAUAGACAUGCAGUCUACAUGGCAGUAAGGCACCACAUUAAAAAGUACAGCAUCUAGAGGUAGAAUACCUACAUCCAAAUUGUAGCUCUGUCACUAAUGUAGCUAUGUGAUCCUGAGCAAGUUGCUUAAUCUUCCUUUGCCUCAGUCUUCCUAUCUAUCAAAUGGUAACAAUAUCCUUCUUCAUAGGGUUUUCCUGGAGAUUAAAUGAGUUAAUAUAUUUAUAGUAUUAAAAAUAGCACCCAUCACAUAGUAAACACUCAGUAAGCAUUAGCUGUUAUUUAAUUCAACAAACUUUAAGAUAGAUAUAUAAAAUAAAAAUGAUAUGAAAUCUAACCUUUUGAGAGUUUAAUUUGGGAAGACAGAUAAUACAAAAAUACUUGAGAACAAUUUUAAGACAGAUUUUAAGGAAUUGCAUGGUGGGGUAGUAAACUAUGAGGCCCUUUUUUUGCCUCUGCGUUAUUAUUUAUCUUGUUAGAUGAACGUGAAACUCUGAGUUUGGGCACUGAAUCUUCCACCUGUUUGUAUAUCCAGGGCCCAGCUUAUGAUAGACACUCAGUACAAAUUUAUUGAUAAUUAUUACAGGAAACUGAAGUAAUUUGAAGAUCAUUGUAUUUUUAGUAAUUGAAAAAAGACUUCAUGAAUUAUGAGUUAUGAUCUGGAAAGAAUUAUAAGAAUUCAGUAAGCUGAAAAGAAAAGCAGAAAAGAAAAGAAAAGGGCAUUCUAGUAGGGAAGGGUAUGGUAGAGUGUGAUGGAAUGCUGUGUUAAAAAGGACAAUGGCAGCAAUGUGUAAAAUGUACAUGGUGCAUGGCAGAUGACUGACUUAUUUGAUCUUGGACAUGAUGGAGUAGUGAUGAAGCUGAUUUUAUCAGUUGGUUGAAGACUAAAUAUCUUAUGAAUAUUUUUGGAUAUCAGAAUUGAUCUGAGACACAGUAGAAACAAUGACAGAUUCUUUCACAGGAAAAUAUCAUAAGAAUAUUCACAUUUUAAGAAUUAAGCAGUGGAGUGCAUAAUUAGUAAAAUUUGAAAAAGAAAAACUAGAGGUAAGAAGACCUAUUAGGAGAUGAUUAAAGUCCAGAGGGGAGGUCUUAAAAAGGGCAGCUUCUCUUCAAAGGCCUGAGAUUAGAAGUGCAGUCUCAGUCUCUUUUUGAGGGUAUAAUAACAGCUUCAAAAGGCAUCCUAGUUGCUUCCUAAAUUCCCUAAGGAAUUCUAAGCAUUUUUCUAAACACUCAAAAUCACUUAGGAAGAAUUAUUCUUUCUAAAUAUGGGAAAAUAAAUUGCAAAGUGGGAAAAAAAUAACUGGUUAGUGUAUAUAGAUUUUUAAUCCACCUUUAUUUUUAAAAGUUAUUCACUUGCUGGAGUUUUUGUUUAGUGGCACCAUACUGUAACAUUUUACUUUACAGGGCUGCAUUUUUUAUGAUCUGAAGAUUUUUGAAAGGAUUUUGUAUCCUUUAUUACAUGAUACAUUCUAUCUCCCUUAUUAAUCUGUUGUCCCUUGAAGUAAGAUAAUCGAUGUAUAUUUUUCCACCUUCUACAUUGUUGAAAGUGAUGACUUUAGUUAAUACUAUAGCAAUUCAAUGAAACCUAACAGCAUGAAAUCUUCCAAAAUUCUCAUGAAAGGUACUGACAAUACCUUGCAAUAAAU